ensembl:processed_transcript
AAACGAGGAAGUGAAGUCAAGUCCGCCAUUUCAUCUUCUUCUUUAUAUCGGGUAAAAAAGAAAGGAAUCAUGCAAGCUGAAGGAAAUUACAACUCUCACAUCAGUGCAUUACUAAUUGUUUGACUUCAUCAUCAAGCACACCAGCUCAGAUUGUGAUGGACCGGGAAUGCGACACCAGUUACUCUUAA